UGUUAAUGACUUGGCAACGUAUCGUAACUCCCCCUAAUUCCACCGGUCCCGUAUUUCCACCGUCUUGCGUGUAUGUGUCACUUAAUAUCCAUUUCUAUA